rnacentral:rRNA from 1 species
GCUGGGAUGUGAUGGGGAGCGAAAUUUAGUAGCGAAGUAGCUGAUUUCACACUGUCAAGAAAAGUCUCUAUCGAGGUUAAAGGUACCCGUACCGCAAACCGACACAGGUGGGUGAGGAGAGUAUCCUAAGGCCAGCGAGAGAACUGUUGUUAAGGAACUCGGCAAAAUGACCCCGUAACUUAGGGAUAAGGGGUGCCACCAUCCGGUGGCCGCAGAGAAUAGGCCCAAGCGACUGUUUACCAAAAACAUAGGUUUCUGCUAAGUCGCAAGACGAUGUAUAGGAGCUGACGCCUGCCCGGUGCUGGAAGGUUAAGGGGAUCUGUUAGAGCAAUCGAAGCAGUGAACUUAAGCCCCAGUAAACGGCGGCCGUAACUAUAACGGUCCUAAGGUAGCGAAAUUCCUUGUCGGGUAAGUUCCGACCCGCACGAAAGGCGUAACGAUUUGGGCACUGUCUCAACAACAGACUCGGUGAAAUUGUAAUUCCGGUGAAGAUGCCGGAUACCUGCGACAGGACGGAAAGACCCCAUGGAGCUUUACUGUAGCUUGACAUUGGGUCUUGGUACUACAUGUACAGGAUAGGUGGGAGGCUUUGAAACCAGGACGCCAGUUUUGGCGGAGCCAUCCUUGGGAUACCACCCUUGUAGUACUGGGACUCUAACCAUAGGCCAUGAAUCUGGUCUUGGGACACUGUCAGGUGGGCAGUUUGACUGGGGCGGUCGCCUCCCAAAAGGUAACGGAGGCGCUCAAAGGUUCUCUCAGUACGGUCGGAAAUCGUACGUAGAGUGUAAAGGCAAAAGAGAGCUUGAUUGCAAGACAUACAGGUCGAGCAAGGAUGAAAAUCGGACUUAGUGAUCCGGUGGUUCUGCGUGGAAGGGCCAUCGCUCAACGGAUAAAAGCUACCCUGGGGAUAACAGGCUUAUCUCCCCCAAGAGUCCACAUCGACGGGGAGGUUUGGCACCUCGAUGUCGGCUCAUCACAUCCUGGGGCUGUAGUAGGUCCCAAGGGUUGGGCUGUUCGCCCAUUAAAGUGGUACGCGAGCUGGGUUCAGAACGUCGUGAGACAGUUCGGUCCCUAUCCGUCGCAGGCGUAGGAAAUUUGAGAAGACCUGUCCUUAGUACGAGAGGACCGGGAUGGACGUACCUCUGGUGUACCAGUUGUUCUGCCAAGGGCAUGGCUGGGUAGCUAUGUACGGAA